UAAGAGGAUUAAGGAUUGAGUCCUUAAUGUGCUGGCACCAAUUAUCUCUUCUCUUCACUUCACCAUGGCUGCUUCAGCUUCUUCUCUAGCUCUCUCUCUACCUUCACCCCCAAGUCCCUUCCUUUCUCCAUCUCCAGACCCGCCUCCGCUUCCCUCUCCUUCAAACUCCACUUCGAGUCCUCCGCUUCCCUCUCCGUCUCCAUCUCCGCCGUCGCGUUGAGACGAUUCGAUUAUCUCCGUCACACGCUGUCGAUUUCUUCCCGCCGCCACUGAAUGGGUGAAAGGCAAAGCUAUGGAGGAAGUCCUGACCAUCAAGAACACUGAAAUUGCGAAGCAUCUUUCUCUCCCACAAGUGAAGCUCCACUGCAGUAUGUUGGCGGAGGACGCCAUCAAGGCAGCUGUGAAGGAUUACAAGGAGAAGCGUGUGAAGACAAACGGUGCUUGAGAAACCCACACAGGCUUUGAUUCCUUCUGUUAAUUGUUUAUACCAUUAUGUGUGUAUGAUGGUGGAAACAGGGAAGGUGUAAAAGAGGACCUAUGUGGUAUGUUCUCUUAAGGUUCAAGUCUAAAAAGUACUUUUGAAUAAACUAUGUUUGACAAAAACAUGUGAAAAGAAGAAUCGUUUGCUUCUUUUUUUUGCCCUUCAGUUUUUGAUGUUUUGUAAUGAUUUUCCCUUUCUUUA